UGGCCGACACUUAGAAUGUUAGGUUUUUCUUGUAUCAACGAGUCAACCUUCUAAUAUAGGCUUUAUAUGUAUAUUGCUGUUCAAUGUUAAUCCUGCUCAUUCUCACUUGUGCAAUGAAAAUGGUCCAAUCUUCUAUAUCUCUCUACAUACUUUGAUUCAGCUAUCAAGUAUUAAACACAGCUAUCUUCAGCUACUCCUGGAGAGAGAAGCCCCGUUUGGUAACGGGGUAGAAAGAAUCUACUAUCAUGAUACCAAACGGAGUUUAAAGUCUUGCCAGGUAUGUCUCGGAAAUAUUUCUGUAUGUUUCAUCUCUUCCUGAAAUUUUUAUGUUAUGGCAGUUGAUUCAUCAAAUAUUUGAAGUUUCUCAAUUAAUACAUUCUCAAGAUAUAUGUUAGAAGAUGCAGGCUGUUCCAAAAGGGUAUUGAUUUUGGAGUUUAACAGUUAGAGAAUAGCAUUCCAUAAAAUUAAAGAAAAUUCAACCAUCAUCGUUUUUUGUUUUGGGUUUUGAUUACAUGUUGUAUGGUACCAAAAUAGUCGACGUAUUCCACAAUUUCUCCUCAAAUCUACAAACACAUUGACAGGUUUAGAAUCCAUCAGAUCAGCUGGUGAGAACAAACACGAGAACUAUCAGUUUCUGCAUUCCCAUUUCUUUUCUGCUCUCUUUGCAGGGUACAUAAGCCAUGUCCAAAAUCAUUACAAGCACUAAGUCCUUUUUUCUCAUGGGUCAUCCUCAAUCGUUCAGCGUAUAGGAUGAUACUGGGUAGUACCUCGUUUUGGUGGCAACUUCCUCAA
rnacentral:lncRNA from 1 species